UACAGGGGGGGCAAGCGUUGUUCGGAAUUACUGGGCGUAAAGGGUCUGUAGGUGGCCAACUAAGUCAGACGUGAAAUCCCUCAGCUUAACUGGGGAACUGCGUCUGAUACUGGAUGGCUCGAGUGUGGGAGAGGAAUGCGGAAUUCCAGGUGUAGCGGUGAAAUGCGUAGAUAUCUGGAGGAACACCGGUGGCGAAGGCGGCAUUCUGGACCAUAACUGACACUGAGAGACGAAGCAAGGGCAGG
rnacentral:rRNA from 1 species